AAGUCGUAACAAGGUUUCCGUAGGUGAACCUGCGGAAGGAUCAUUAACGAAUUUUGUCAGUGGGUUGAUGCUGGCGUUUAUGGCGCAUGUGCUCGCUCCUGCAUUCUUCUUAUCCAUACACCUGUGCACCUUUGGGGGAUGUCUUGGAAGGGGUUUCCCGCAAGGGAGAUCCUGGAUGAGAGCCCUCGCUUUAUCACAAACACUUGAUUGAUCUGUGAACGUGACUGUGCCGCAAGGCCAUAAUUAUAAUACAACUUUUAACAACGGAUCUCUUGGCUCUC
rnacentral:misc_RNA from 1 species